rnacentral:rRNA from 1 species
AUUGCACAAUGGGCGCAAGCCUGAUGCAGCGACGCCGCGUGGGGGAUGACGGCCUUCGGGUUGUAAACCUCUUUCACCAUCGACGAAGGUCCGGGUUCUCUCGGAUUACGGUAGGUGGAGAAGAAGCACCGGCCAACUACGUGCCAGCAGCCGCGGUAAUACGUAGGGUGCGAGCGUUGUCCGGAAUUACUGGGCGUAAAGAGCUCGUAGGUGGUUUGUCCCGUUGUUCGUGAAAUAUCACGCCUUAACUGUGAGCGUGCGGGCGAUACGGGCAGACUAGAGUACUGCAGGGGAGAUUGGAAUUCCUGGCGUAGCGGUGGAAUGCGCAGAUAUCAUGAGGAACCCUGGUGGCGAAGGCGGGUCUCUGGGCAGUACCUGACGCUGAGGAGCGAAAGCGUGGGGAGCGAACAGGAUUAGAUACCCCGGUAGUCCACGCCGUAAACGGUGGGUAGGUAGGUGUGGGUUUC